rnacentral:tRNA from 1 species
UGGGAUGUUGCUCAGUGGUAGAGAGCUUGCAUGGUAUGCACAAGCCCUGGGUUUGAUUCCCAGCACUGCAA